UACGUAGGGGGCAAGCGUUGUCCGGAUUUAUUGGGCGUAAAGAGCUCGUAGGUGGUUCGGUAAGUCGGAUGUGAAAUCUCCAGGCUCAACCUGGAGGGGUCAUUCGAUACUGCCGUGACUAGAGGUCGGUAGGGGAGUGUGGAAUUCCCGGUGUAGCGGUGAAAUGCGCAGAUAUCGGGAAGAACACCCGUGGCGAAGGCGGUUCUCUGGGACGGUACUGACGCUGAGGAGCGAAAGCAUGGGGAGCGAACAGG
rnacentral:rRNA from 1 species